AACCCCCCCAAGUCAAGUGGUUGACCUCGGAUCAGGUAGGAAUACCCGCUGAACUUAAGCAUAUCAAUAAGCGGAGGAAAAGAAACCCACAGGGAUUGCCUCAGUAACGGCGAGUGAAGCGGCAACAGCUCAAAUUUGAAAUCUGGCCCCCCGGCCCGAGUUGUAAUUUGCAGAGGAUGCUUCGGGCGCGGUGCCUUCCAAGUCCCCUGGAACGGGGCGCCAUAGAGGGUGAGAGCCCCGUCUGGUUGGCCGCCAAGCCUGUGUGAAGCUCCUUCGACGAGUCGAGUAGUUUGGGAAUGCUGCUCUAAACGGGAGGUAGACCCCUUCUAAAGCUAAAUACCGGCCAGAGACCGAUAGCGCACAAGUAGAGUGAUCGAAAGAUGAAAAGCACUUUGAAAAGAGGGUUAAACAGUACGUGAAAUUGUUGAAAGGGAAGCGCUUGUGACCAGACGUGCGCCGGGUGUUCAGCGGGCGUUUUCGCCCGUGCAUUCGCCCCGGCGCAGGCCAGCGUCGGUUCGGGCGGGGGGACAAAGGCGCCAGGAACGUAGCUCCCCCGGGAGUGUUAUAGCCUGGCGCGCCAUGCCCCCGCCCGGACCGAGGUUCGCGCUCCGCAAGGACGCUGGCGUAAUGGUCCCCAGCGGCCCGUCUUGAAACACGGACCAAGGAGUCGAGGUUUUACGCGAGUGUCUGGGUGUCAAACCCGCACGCGAAAUGAAAGUGAACGCAGGUGGGAGCUUCGGCGCACCACCGACCGAUCCUGAUGUUCUCGGAUGGAUUUGAGUAGGAGCGUGGGGCCUCGGACCCGAAAGAUGGUGAACUAUACUUGGAUAGGGUGAAGCCAGAGGAAACUCUGGUGGAGGCUCGCAGCGGGUCUGACGUGCAAAUCGAUCGUCAAAUCUGAGUAUGGGGGCGAAAGACUAAUCGAACCAUCUAGUAGCUGGUUACCGCC
rnacentral:rRNA from 1 species